GAGGGCAUGCUGGAGCAAGAAGAAAGAAAAAGAGAAACCCAGUCAAUGCGUGGCUACCUUAUGCUAUGCUAGACAAAAUCACAAGCUUCCUGGAGGACAAGGAUGAACCUCCGGUCCCACACAGGAUUGGACUUGACAUGGACUCUAAUUUCUACAUCCGAUGGACUCAGAUUUCCAGUGUCUCAGUUUCAAGAUCCUUACAGGUAAAUCUGAUGGAUUGUUAGUAAUACACUGACUAUUCAAGAAUUGUGGAGCAAGGCUGUGCAGCCUAGGGUGUGGUAGGCUCUAAUGAAGUAGCUGUGUUAGGAGCAGGAAAUGAUACGUAUGACUGUUACAGUUUCCACAGUGUGUUUAAGUCAAUGGCCUUAAAACUUUUUCCACCAUGAUCCUGAAGCAGAAAUAUUUUUUUUUCAUCUCCAUGUUAAUUCCUUUUUUUUUCUUUUUCCUCCAAGUUUGGGACAGUCUUUAUUGGAGCUUGGAAUGUCACUGUGAUUCACCUUAAUCAGAAGCAGACCAUGGGCAAAUGCGCUGCAACAGGGGUGGACACCCAGCAGGGGCCACCCGGGCUAGCCUGGGAACCUCGACUGCCUGUAGGCAGUACCCAGGCACGCACACGUGUGCACACACACAGAUACGUAUUAAUUCUUGAAGCAGUACUUCCUCUUAUUACACCUGAUACACUCUAGUCUUCCCUUUUCUAUUUCUUCCUCUCCCAAUUCAUUCCAUUACAUAAAGGCAUGCUGCUCUUGUCUCACUAAAUUGAUUUCAUGCUCCUCUAAUGAGUUGCAACUUUAGUUUCAAAAGCACUGGUCUAUACUUUUCUUUAUAUUGUUUUCCUUUGUAGCAUUUAUUAUAAUUAUAAUUGGCUCCCCUGUUAAAUUUUGCAGUUUCCUUUGUAGGAGAUACCACAAUUAAAUUGCUUCCCUUGUUAAACUGCAAUCCACAUUAAAGCAGAGACUGUGUCUGUCUUGUUUACUACUGCAUUCCCAGCACCUAACAGAGUUCCUGGCACAUAGUAGAUGCUCAAUUGGGUAAAUAUUGAUGAAUGAAUAAAUGAAGACCCAAACAGAUGGCACCCUUAAUGGGCUCACCUGGUUUUUUGCAAGAAGUACAUUCAGAUACAUAUAAAACCGGCUAAUCUGGCAUGGCUCUGCUGAUGGAAAAAGCAGAUGGAAAGGCCCAGCAGGACACUCCGUGGAGCAAGAAGGGCAGGCCAAAGAGCAAGUUUCCAUCUAGUCACCGGCAGCUGCCUGAAAUUCUUCCACCAGGGAAAAUCUCCUGUGAUAGAGGAGGAGCCAGUGUCAGCUCAUCAUAGAGAAAGAAAGAACCACACAAUAUCUUCACACAAGAUACCAUGAUACCUGCUUUCCAGCGAGACAAAGACAUCUGGUUGGGAGAUUAAUAACACACAAAGCUCCACUCCCUCUCUUCUUGCUAGCCUCCUCCUGGCAAAUCACAGACUCCCAUCACAUCAAGAUUCAUUUAACUCACUUCUGCAAUUUAUGGCUCCUACUGCUCUCUACCAGUUGUUUCAAAAUCUACUUUUUAUAAAUGGCUAUUUUUAAUGGCAUCAUGUGCUUUCUUUUCCUGUUUGCCAAGAUUCUGAAUCUACAGGACUUUUUUUUUUUUUUUUUAAUUUAAAGAAGGAUUGCGUUUUAUUUUUUAAAGGUUUUUUUCCCAUUUUAUUUUAUUUUAUUUCUUUUCAAUGUUCCAGCAUUCAUUGUUUAUGCAUCACACCCAGUGCUCCACGCAAUACAUGCCCUCCUUAAUACCCAGCACCAGGCUCACCCAACCCCCCACUCCCUUCCCCUCCCAAACCCUCAGUUUGUUUCUCAGAGUCCACAGUCUCUCAUGGUUUGUCUCUCCCUCUAAUUUCCCCCAACUCACUUCUCCAGGAUAAUUUAAUAAACAAUUACAGUGGUUUCAUCUUUA